rnacentral:misc_RNA from 1 species
UUAAGUUCAGCGGGUAGUCCUACCUGAUUUGAGGUCAAGUUUCGAGUUUCGUCUUUCGACGAGAGAUUUAGAAGCGCUGGCUUCACGACGCCCGCUAGCACUCCAGCCACGACGAUCAUUAUCACGUCGAAGGCCGUUCAUGCAUGGAGUUAGGUCGUUCCACCAUCGCUAAUGCUUUUAAGGAGAGCCGAAGACCGUAG